rnacentral:rRNA from 1 species
UACCGCGGUCUCAACCGUUGUUCGGAUUCACUGGGCGUAAAGGGUGCGUAGGUGGUGAGGUAAGUCGGAUGUGAAAGCUCGGAGCUCAACUCUGAAAUGGCAUUGGAAACUACCUUGCUCGAGGGUUGGAGGGGGGACUGGAAUGCUUGGUGUAGCAGUGAAAUGCGUAGAUAUCAAGCGGAACACCAGUGGCGAAGGCGAGUCCCUGGACAACUCCUGACACUGAGGCACGAAAGCUAGGGGAGCAAACAGG